rnacentral:rRNA from 1 species
UACGGAGGGGGCUAGCGUUGUUCGGAAUACUGGGCGUAAAGCGCACGCAGGCGGAUACGCGCGUGGGGUGUGAAAUCUGGCCGCUUAACGGCCAGGCGCCAUCCCAUACGGCGUGUCUGGAGCUGUGCAGAGGUCGGUGGAAUUCCUGGUGUAGCGGUGAAAUGCGCAGAUAUCAGGAGGAACACCGGUGGCGAAGGCGGGUCUCUGGGCCGAUAUUGACGCUGAGGAGCGAAAGCGUGGGGAGCGAACAGG